UUAAAAAGCUCGUAGUUGGAUGCCUAGACUUUGCGACGGACGGCCCGCCUUCGGGUUGAGUGCUGGAAGCGCUAGCUUGUUUUCCGGUUUGUGUCCCUUCCCUUGACUGUGGCGGGGUUCACGAUCCGGAUCUGUUACUUUGAAGAAAUUCGGGUGUUCAAAGCAGGCUUAUGCCGUGAAGACUGCAGCAUGGAAUAACAACAUAGGGCUAUCGCGUCUCACUUUGUUGGUUCUGGGAUCGUAGCAAUGAUUGAUACGGACCGUUGGGGGUGCUGCUAUUCCGCGGCCAGAGGUGAAAUUCUCAGAUUCCCGGAAGAGCAACUUAUGCGAAAGCGUUCACCCAAGGAGGUUCCUGUUUAAUCAAGAACGGAAGU
rnacentral:rRNA from 1 species